GAAUGGUCCACUUACACAAAGAGAGAACCAUCUGUACAUAAAAAGUACAUGCUGUAGAGAAUAUGCCAAGCAUGUAAGAAACUGACUCUUCCCUGACUCAUUGGAUCAUCUCAGUUACUUAGCCAAGACAGAUCUGAACUGGAAGCAUUUUUGAGAUACUCUGGGACUCCUGGAAAUGGCGCCUCUCUCUGGAACUCUACCUCAGAAAAUGAGAUCAGUAUGUGAAAUAAUGAAAUCAACCACCAUCUCAAACUUGGUGUAACUGCUAACACUGAGAAUUUAACAACUGGUUCUUGGGAGCCAAUUUGAGCUGGCUUCAGCAUACCCAUGGAUCACAGUAAAAGAAACUGGAGCUGAGUGGCAUCAUCAUCCUGGGAAGACUUAACUCCAUCAUGUUGCUUCUCUUCUUUGGUCCUCUGUAAAAUGAGCAUCCUCACUGGAACUUCUCCAACUCAUUCUGGCAGGUUGGGUUUCCAAAACAGCUCCCUCAGCUCCAAGGUUCAUCGAAGUCCA
rnacentral:lncRNA from 1 species